CCAGCGCCAAACUAUACAAUAUACAGUCCGCUCUACGUGGACUACAAGUCCCAUAAUGCCUUGCGGUACCAGGAAGUCACUCGCGGCUGGGUUAAACCCGCUCUCACGGCUUACAUUUUACCGAGCAAAUGUGACGAUCAAGGCAUGCGGUACAUCAACAAAUCCAAAUAACACAAUCCCCAAUCAUCACCGCAUAAAAUGGAAUCUCCAAACAAAUUCCCGAGGGAUGCAGAUGCUGAUUUCAUGCAGCUAAGACAAAGGCUCCAAAUGUUUAGUUCUCAAUGCAAGGAUGAAGGUCUGACACGUGAACAAUUGUACUCAGAAGCCAUAUAACCCCUCUCACACGUCAUCCUAAACAAAAUACUGACAGACGCGAGAAAAUUGAGAGUUGCUCAAUGUAGUGUGCACAGUAAAGACGCCAUCAUCAGAACUCAACAAAAAGAAAUAGAAGAACUGAAGCAAGA